rnacentral:lncRNA from 1 species
UUGCCUUGGCGCCUGUCGUGCUGCUCAGUGCUACGUGUGUUUGCUUUACGCAACGACAGCACGGGUGAGAGGGAGAUUCAGGUCAACCAGCUGGAUAGCUGGAUAGUGAGUGAGAGUGUGAGAUUUAGUUCUGAAUUUGAGAGAGGUUUUGAUCAACAAUUGUGGUUGUUGAUUGACAGAGAAAAAAGUGCUUCGUUCAAAUACUUGGUCCGCCAUGUAAGUCUCUGGCACCGCUUCGUUCUUUCCAAUUUGUUGAUCGAGAGAGAGAGAGAGAGAGAGAGAGAGAGAGGAAGAAAGGAUAGGAGCAGGGUAUUUUGCAUGUUUUCGUUCUUCUAAAGUCUACUAAAUCCGACUCCUACGCAUCUUCCAGCUCCGGCGCCGACAAAUCUCCCGAUUCUAAGGAUCCUUGGUGUUUGAAUUUCUAUGCGUACAAGGCCACAUUCAGACAAAGCAUAUAUAGUCCUUUUGGUUUGCUGCUACUGAAUAAUCAACCAAGUUUAGAUCAGUUUUCUAGGUCUGUGGGAAAGCUAAUAGAUGCAUACCGAUUUUUACACAAAGAGAAGGACAUGGAGCGUGGCUUCUCCUGGUCAGGAAAUCCCAUUGGAAAGUAGACCAUAUGGUUCAUGCACAUAGGAACUUGCCGUUGAAAAUAAAUUGGAUUACUGUUGUGUUGGUCGAGUUGAAGUGAUGUAGAAUCAUAGUGAUUCCAUCUGAAUGUGCAAUCAUUAGAUGUAUAGAGGCAAAAGGAUGAGGAUAGACUACUUCAUAGCUGCAGAGCAACUCAAAGAUAGGAUUGUUUCAUGUGAGAUGCACGGGCAAGGGAUGAAUUACAAGGUUUGCUGACUGCGGUGCAGAAGGACUACUUUAAACUUCUACAUUAUCAAUAGUUGCAUUUCGAUGAUUGUGGAAAUCGUGUUUCUCAGUUGUUACAUGUUGAAUUAGCUGCCCCAGCUUCACAGUUUCAAAACAAUGAUAUUCUAGAAGACCUCAUGAUUCAAAUUUGUGUAUAGUAAUUAGCUAAAGUACCAGAUUUUGGAUCAUGUAAAACAAUAUUCGAUGUGUAUAUACAACGCAUUUAUAUAGUGUACCUAAUAUUUGUAAAUUCAAUACUGUUGAAGUCAAUAAUGUCCAUGAUAUACCCGCAGCAUCGCGCGGGCUAUCUCG